CCUGCGGUUAUGUCAGCUAUUGUUGUUGUUUAUUAUUGUUGAUAUUUUGCUUCUUAUUAUUCCAAUUUGCAGCGUAAUCAUAUCAGGCGGAAUGAGUGAGACUGAGGAAGAAAUGGAAAUAAAAAUUGAGUAUUUCGAGACUAAUGAAACCGACCCUUUGAGUGAAGAAUGUACAAAUAAAAGUGAUUCAAAAUAUUCUGCAACAACUAAACAUUUUGAUGAAAAUAUAAAUCAGCCUACAGCAAACAAUUUUAGUGAGAGCCUGAAUGAAUCUCCAGUGAAUGAUGAAAAUAGAUUUAGUGAUAUAUCUGAAAGUGAUGAAACUUGGCACAAAUCUAUAGACGAUUUUGGACGAUACCUGUGUAAAUUUUGUGAGCACUCUUAUUUAUCAAAUCAAAGUUUAUGUCGCCAUGUAAAACUUAAACAUAUUGAAGAGUACACUUGCAUAAAAAGCACAGCCACAAACAAAUUGAGAAGAACAAGACUAAAAUGUCAUAUAUGCAAGAAGAGAUUCAAAGCUACCUCCGAUUUGCAAGAACAUUUACAAUCUCAUGGUAUUAAUAACAUAAAGAACUCUGUGUCUGUAUAUCAUACAGCGGUAGACAAAAUAAAACAUUUAUGUACAAAAUGCGGUUACAGUACAUCUAAAAUUUCACAUUUUAAACAGCAUGAGAAUACUCAUUCACUGAGAGAGCUAAAGAAAUGCUCUUAUUGUGAAUACACAACAUAUCACGCACAUAAUUUGAAGAUACACGAACAUAUACAUAAAAAUCAUAAACCGUAUGUGUGUACUGUUUGUGAUUACCGAUCGGCAGCGCUGUCCGGGUUGUACAGUCAUAGACUAAAACAUGAGAAGGAAAAGAAUAUGGUGUAUUGUGAUCAGUGCAGUUAUUCUACUGUUUAUAAACAGAGUUUAAAAAAACAUAUUGAGAGUCAUAAAAGAAAUAAUCUCAGGACAGAGUUUUAAAGCUUAUUUUUGCACUAGGUACAGCAAAAUCUGCAGUUGAGAUAUCUGCCUAGUCCUUUCCCAACUAUGUUGGGGUCAUCUUUAAAUCUAACCAGAUGCAGCUGAGUACCUGUGUUAUGCAUCUGACCGUACUGUCUGCCAAUGAUGAUAAAAUGACCGGUGGGACCCAUCCACAUUGUGCCUCCGGAAACAAGGAAGUACUCAUCUUGACAAGAUAGUCCCAUCCAAGGACCGACCGCGCCAAGCGUUGCUUGACCAGUCUAUAUCACUAUACACUAUGAUGACCUUGACUGUGAAUUCACGUAAAUAUUCCAAUUGCUGACUCGCUCCCACGUUGUCUUCUAUCUGCGCGAAUGUGAGGGUAAUACUAUUUACUUUUGAAUAUUGCCAUAGAUAAAAAAAAUAACCAAUUUUGCCAAAAUGUUUUUAAAGAUAUACUAUAUUCUGUGUGU